rnacentral:RNase_P_RNA from 1 species
ACUAUACAUCGCGCAAUCGCGUCCGCCUUUGACGGACGAGGAAAGUCCGAACUCCACAGGACUGAGUACCCUGCGUUAAGUGGGGGUGUUCGUUCCGAAGCAUCGGGACGUGACAACGGAUAGUGUCACAGAAAAAAUACCGUCACGUUUUGUGAAGACUGCGUCAAACGAAACGGGAUAAGGGUGAAAAGGCGAGGUAAGAGCUCACCAGUGGCGUCGUAAGGCGCCAGCUUGACAAACCCUACUCGGAGCAAGACCAUGUAAGUCCCGCUCUCUGCUUUAGACAGAGUGAAGAGUGAUCCGCUCAACUUCUCUCAACAUUGCUGAAGAAAACGGGAUGGGUAGGUCGCACAGAGCAAUGAUUGCGUUUCCGAUUCUCCACUUGUGUCGAAUCGGGAAACAGAAUUCGGCUUAUAGAUGCAUAGCCUUC